AUGUACGGCGUGCUCGAGUUCUCGCCGGAGCCGACGUUGAGCACUGUGAAAACAAAGGGGAUGAAACUUACCUUCCCUCCGAACGGUCAAGACUGUGUGCAUUCGUAUCACUAUCUCUUGGAUCUGGAUGGCAAGCUCCACAUGGUGUGUCUCUUCUUCGCCGACUUUGAUAUGCGCACGGUCAUUGAUGUUGCCGUGUAUAAGAUGGGUUUCGCCAGGUCAAGAUGCGUCAGGGUGAACAACAUAGGCGCUCGGGCAAUACUUGCAAGUGUUAGGAGCACGAGCGCGUCGUGGUGUCCAGCAAACAAGUUCAGGUUGCGUCCCAACACUUUGUAUUGGAUGAGCGAAUUCGACAAAUGCUUGCACAUGUACGACAUCAGCUCAAACAAGGAGGUAGAGCACGAGGGUGAAGGUACCGCGAUGGAGCUAUUGCGCCCACCGUUUUGGUUGGUUCCCGUACAUCGUCCAUGA
rnacentral:rRNA from 1 species